rnacentral:lncRNA from 1 species
GGUGGCUGAAUGGGGCAGCGCAGCAUGCCAUACACACGGGGCAUACAGGCAUACAGGCUCAUUGUGUGACCAGCAAAACACACACUGCCACCAAACUUCAAUGCCUUCUCUUCACCCAGAUGAAUUUGCUCUGGAGAAAGCUGCCUGGCCCACCAGCACUACAAUCCCGACUCUUCCAGCCCUGACCCAGCCUGGCAGAUGGCCGGUACUCACCCAGCGGAGUCCCUGGAUGCAGCUGGGGCGCCGGUGCUCGAACACUAGCUGGUAAGAGCAGCAGCGGGGACGGUGCAUUCUCUUCAACACCAUAUUGAGCAGCGUGCCCUCCGGAACCACGUCCGGGAGACCUCCCACCUGCGGUGCCCCCACAGCUGGACUCUCCACCACAGCUGGGCCCACCUGCCAGUGGUUCUCACCUGGCCAGCUGACCUGUGAUGUGGGGAGGAAAGAGGACAGCCAUCGGCCGGAGGAGCUGGACCUCCCCACUACCACCCCUGGCUUAGCGUCCUCUGGACUUGGACUGGUCAUGCGGAGCUCACACCGCGGUGCUCGCCCUAGCAAGAGGCUGCAGGAUCCCUGGAGCGGUGGUGAAGGCAGAGCACACCUCCUCCCUGGGCCUCUUUGCCCCUUCCGCACAGAUGGCCGGCACUUCGCACUUCGUCUCACUCGCUCCUGCUUCCUAGUGGACAGACUGUGACCAGGGACGGUGAUUUCCGUGGCGCCCGGUGAUUGCUCAGGACAUUGAUGAGGGUCUAGAAGAAGGCACAGGUUCCACCCCAGCGUUUUAAAGCUUUCUAGCCUCCUCUCUUCUUUCCCACUGCCAUUAAGCCAGGAAGCGGGAGAGAGGGCUAAAUCCAGCAUAGCUAAGCCCAUUUCCACCCAGAACUGAGAACUUUAACCAUCAUUUAAAAACUGAAUUUAAA